rnacentral:rRNA from 1 species
CCUACGGGAGGCAGCAGUGGGGAAUAUUGGGCAAUGGGCGCAAGCCUGACCCAGCAACGCCGCGUGAAGGAAGAAGGCUUUCGGGUUGUAAACUUCUUUUCUCAGGGACGAAGCAAGUGACGGUACCUGAGGAAUAAGCCACGGCUAACUACGUGCCAGCAGCCGCGGUAAUACGUAGGUGGCAAGCGUUAUCCGGAUUUACUGGGUGUAAAGGGCGUGUAGGCGGGGACGCAAGUCAGAUGUGAAAACCACGGGCUCAACCUGUGGCCUGCAUUUGAAACUGUGUUUCUUGAGUACUGGAGAGGCAGACGGAAUUCCUAGUGUAGCGGUGAAAUGCGUAGAUAUUAGGAGGAACACCGGUGGCGAAGGCGGCUUACUGGACCAUAACUGACGUUGAGGCUCGAAAGCGUGGGGAGCGAACAGGAUUAGAUACCCUUGUAGUC